rnacentral:misc_RNA from 1 species
AAAUUGUUUUAGUUUUUAGUGU